GUAAGGAGUUUUCGGCAAUGGGGGGAACCCUGACCGAGCAACGCCGCGUGAGUGAAGAAGGCCUUCGGGUCGUAAAGCUCUGUCAUCAGGGACGAACGGCCGGUGGAGUGGAAAGCCACCGGAUUGACGGUACCUGAGAAGGAAGCCACGGCUAACUACGUGCCAGCAGCCGCGGUAAUACGUAGGUGGCAAGCGUUGUCCGGAAUUAUUGGGCGUAAAGCGCGCGCAGGUGGGAUCUUAAGUCCAUUUUUAAAGUUCGGAGCUCAACUCCGUGAUGGGAUGGAAACUGGGAUUCUUGAGUACCGGAGAGGAAAGCGGAAUUCCCCGUGUAGCGGUGAAAUGCGUAGGUAUGGGGAGGAACACCAGUGGCGAAGGCGGCUUUUUGGACGGUGUCUGACACUGAUGCGCGAAAGCCAGGGGAGCGAACGGGAUUAGAAACCCCAGUAGUCC
rnacentral:rRNA from 1 species